GACGAACGCUGGCGGCGUGCUUAACACAUGCAAGUCGAACGGAAAGGCCCUGCUUUUGUGGGGUGCUCGAGUGGCGAAGGGGUGAGUAACACGUGAGUAACCUGCCCUUGACUUUGGGGUAACUUCAGGAAACAGGGGCUCAUAUCGGGUAGGAGCUACUGCUGCAUGGUGGGGGAUGGAAAGAUUCGGCGGUGGGGGAUGGACUCGCGGGUUAUCAGCUUGCUGGUGAGGUAGUGGCUUACGAAGGCUUUGAAGGGUAGCCCGCCUGAGAGGGUGACCGGCCACAUUGGUCCUGAGAGACGGCCCAGACUCCUACGGGAGGCAGCAGUGGGGAAUAUUGCACAAUGGGCGGAAGCGUGAGGCAACAACGCCGCGUGCGGGAUGACGGCUUUCGGGUUGUAAACCGCUUUCUCCUGUGACGAAGCGUGAGUGACGGUAAUGGGUAAAGAAGCACCGGCUAACUACGUG
rnacentral:rRNA from 1 species